ensembl:rRNA 5S_rRNA 5S ribosomal RNA
AUCUAUGGCCAUACCACCCUAAUUUUGAAAGCUUAGCAGGAUCAGGCCUGGCCAUUACUUGGAUGGGAGACUGCCUCACACACCAGGUGCUGUAGGCU